rnacentral:rRNA from 1 species
GAUGAACGCUGGCGGCGUGCCUAAUACAUGCAAGUCGAGCGAACAGACGAGGAGCUUGCUCCUCUGACGUUAGCGGCGGACGGGUGAGUAACACGUGGAUAACCUACCUAUAAGACUGGGAUAACUUCGGGAAACCGGAGCUAAUACCGGAUAAUAUAUUGAACCGCAUGGUUCAAUAGUGAAAGACGGUUUUGCUGUCAUUUAUAGAUGGAUCCGCGCCGCAUUAGCUAGUUGGUAAGGUAACGGCUUACCAAGGCAACGAUGCGUAGCCGACCUGAGAGGGUGAUCGGCCAUACUGGAACUGAGACACGGUCCAGACUCCUACGGGAGGCAGCAGUAGGGAAUCUUCCGCAAUGGGCGAAAGCCUGACGGAGCAACGCCGCGUGAGUGAUGAAGGUCUUCGGAUCGUAAAACUCUGUUAUUAGGGAAGAACAAAUGUGUAAGUAACUAUGCACGUCUUGACGGUACCUAAUCAGAAAGCCACGGCUAACUACGUG